UGAGCUUUGAGGACUUAGGUCCCAAUGUUAAUCGAGCUUGAAGACAGCAAGUCCCGGGCUGGCGUUGGCUUGUCUUCUGAGGUCUUCAAAGAAAAAGGGUUGUUCAGAAGUGGAGGUUUUAUCCACGUCAAUCAGAGUGGGGAAGCUGCUGAUGCAAAGGAUACUGACAUUUGUCAUCCCUGGCGGGAUCUGCCACAAUUGGGUCG
rnacentral:lncRNA from 1 species